GUGAAAGCGGAGAGAGGCUGGGAUGACGGGUGAAAAGGAAUAGUAAAGAAAACAUGUUUGAGAUCCAGAACAGAAUAAUGAGUUGUGGAGGGAGGUAUUGAGGAUAGGAGAGUAUAUGGGUUUGGCACCACGAGGUGGAUAGACAAAACAAUUUGGUUGAUAAGGUGCAGAUUCUGAACUAACUUGUAAGCCUUGUCUGGUUUUAGGACAGGUAAAAUGGGGGAAUGGUAAGGAAAGUUUAUAGGUUUUAGAAGCCCAUGCUGUAGCAGGCGAGUGAUAAGAGGCUUUAAUCCUUUUAAAGCGUGCUGUGGGAUGGGAUAUUGGCGUUGAGCAGGGUAAGGGUGAUUAGGUUUUAAUGGGAUGGUAAUGGGCAUGUGAUUGGUUGCCAGGGAAGGAGUAGAGAUGUCCCAUACUUGUGGGUUAAGGUGGGGGGAUAUGAGAGGAAGACGUGAAGGAGGCUUUGGGUUGGGGAGAAGGGCGGCAAUGAGAUGUGGCUGUAGUCCAGGAAUAGUCAAGGAAGCAGAUAAUUUGGUUAAAAUAUCUCAGCCUAAUAAGGGAACUGGGCAGGUGGGGAUAACUAAAAAAGAGUGCAUAAAAGAGUGUUGUCAAAGUUGGCACCAGAGUUGGGGAGUUUUAAGAGAUUUAGAAGCCUGGCUAUCAAUACCCACAACAGUUAUGGAGGCAAGGGAAACAAGCCCUUGAAAAGAAGGUAAUGUGGAGUGGGUAGCCUCCAUAUUGAUUAAGAAGGGGAUGGACUUACCCUCCACUGUGAGAGUUACCCAAAGCUCGGCAUCCGUGAUGGUCUAGGGGCCUUCCGAGGCGAUUGUGCAGCGUCAGUCCUCAGCUGCUAAGCCGAGAAGAUCUGGGAAGGAGUCAGAGAGCCUUGGGCCAGAGUUCCAGGGGCUCUGGAAGUGGCUACCAGGUAUUGCCUCCAGCACACUGUUUACAUUCCUACUGUGUCUCAGCAUCUGUUCUCCUGGGAAUACAACUGGUCCACCUGAACAUAUGAUCUGUGCUGCUGUUGGUGCACGAGGACAGGAGGGAAAUAAGCUGGAAGCCAUGGAUGUGGAGAGUCUGGCUUCAAGAUGGAGCUUGUUUACCUGCAGGGCCCCAUGCAGAACCUCAUGAGACGUGACUUCAGAGGCCUCCUCUCUGACAGGUGAGGGAGGCGUCAGCUCUUCAGAGAGAGAGGCUGCCUUGCCUGGGGACACACAGCUAGCCAGUGGCCGAAGCAGCAGUGGAUGCAGUUGUCCUGAUGCAUAGUUCAAGAACCUUUUUUUUUUUUUCCACAUGUGAAAACAUCUAUUGGGGAAAUGGAAAAAACAUUUGACCUCACAUUCCUCAUACCUGACAUGACCUACAGGGAACGAAGAAGAAGGUUAAACGAGGACAAGCAGCUCUGAAGGCACCAUCCUCCACAUUGACAGAACCAUCUGGAGCAUGAAUUUGGGGAGAGCUUGGUUCUGAGACAGCGCUGCUCAGUCCCAUGCAGACACCAGCCCUGCCCCCUGCCCCAAUCAGAGUGAUAACCCACGAUUCAUGCUGUUAAGAGCAAUUUUCAUUCUUAACCUUUCUGUUGACCUAGAAGACAGCGUGUAGAUCCACUUAUGAAGAUAACAAUGGAAUUGAAGAGGGUCCCAAGAGAAGAAACACAAAGAAUCUGGAUGAAGGGGAAGAGAGAGAGCUGAAUGAGGAGAAAUUGAAAUGCUUGGCACUCUCCUUUCUGGGAAGAUAUUAUGAAAAGAGAGAGAGGAUAAAGGGGAAAAAGGGAAGGAAGACAGGAAGGCUGGAAGGCUGGAAGGCAGGAGGCAGGAAGGAAGAGGGGAAGGAAGGAAGGAGUAGGGAAAGAAGGUGAUAUGGGAUGAAUAUUUGUGUCCCCCCCUCAAAUUCAUAUGUUGAGAUCCUAACUCCUAAGGUGAUAAUAUCAAGAGGUGGAGCCUUUGGGAAGUGAUUAAGUCAUAAGGCUGGAGCCCUUAUAGAUCGCAUUAGUGCCCUUGUAAAAGCAGUUCGAAAAACCUCCUUUGCUCCUUCCGCCAUGUGAGAACAUAGCAAGAAGGUGCCGGCUGGGCACGGUGGCUCAUGCCUGUAAUCCCAGCACUGUGGAGGCUGAGGCGGGUAGAUCACCUGAGGUCAGGAGUUCGA